UGAUCAAGCUACAAAGAGCGCAUCAUGGAUGCCUUGGUGCCAAUAGGCGAUGAAGGACGUGGUAAGCUGCGAUAAGUCACGGAGAGCGGCAAACACGCUUUGACCCGUGAAUGUCCGAAUGGGAUAACCUGAGUGGGGUAACACCUGCUCGAGCUUGUGUGAAUUCAUAGCACAAGCAUCGCGAAACCCGGCGAAGUGAAACAUCUCAGUAACCGGAGGAAAAGAAAGCGAAAGCGAUUCCGUCAGUAGUGGCGAGCGAAAGCGGAAGAGACUAAACCCGACUCAUUCAUGCGUUUCACGACCCAGCGAAUCGAUUAGAAAAGCCGCAGGCUUUUCAAACUCUCUCCCAAGGGAGUGGCUCGGUGAGCUGGCAAGUUGAGCGCGAGAAUGAGUCGGGGGUUGUAGGAGCCCGAUGUGGUAGUGCAAAGGUUAGGUGAAGCUUCUGGAAAGCUGCGCCAUAGAGGGUGAAAGGCCCGUAACCGAAAACCGGCGCACGCCUAGGGAUUUCCUGAGUAAUACGACGCACGUGAAACUUCGUAUGAAUCUGCGCCGACCACGGCGUAAGUCUAAAUACUAAUUGGCGACCGAUAGUGAACCAGUACCGCGAGGGAAAGGUGAAAAGAACCGCUGUGAGCGGAGUGA
rnacentral:rRNA from 1 species